GGCCCCAUCGUCUAGCGGUUAGGACAUCGGCCUCUCACGCCGGUAACACGGGUUCAAUUCCCGUUGGGGUCA
rnacentral:tRNA from 1 species